UGGGGAAUCUUGCACAAUGGGGGCAACCCUGAUGCAGCGACGCCGCGUGAGCGAUGAAGCCCUUCGGGGUGUAAAGCUCUUUCGGCAGGGAAGAAUCAUGACGGUACCUGCAGAAGCAGCUGCGGCUAACUACGUGCCAGCAGCCGCGGUAAUACGUAGGCAGCGAGCGUUGUUCGGAGUUACUGGGCGUAAAGGGUGUGUAGGCGGCUCUCCAAGUUUGGUGUGAAAUCUCCCGGCUCAACCGGGAGGGUGCGCCGAAAACUGGAAGGCUAGAGUGCGGGAUGGGAGAGUGGAAUUCCUGGUGUAGCGGUGAAAUGCGUAGAUAUCAGGAGGAACACCGGUGGUGUAGACGGCUCUCUGGACCGUAACUGACGCUGAGACACGAAAGCGUGGGUAGCAAACAGGAUUAGAUACCCCCGUAGUCC
rnacentral:rRNA from 1 species